AAUAGCCCAAAAUUGGGAGUUUUGGUGAGUGCAGAGCGCGAAAGCAUUUUCUCUUUUCUCCAAAAAUCUCUCAUUUUCCCAAAAAUUCUGCAGUCCAAAUCUUGCCAAUUCAUCCUACAGGCAACCUCCCUCCAACUUCAUUUAAGUAUGCUCCUAACCCACAAGCCAUCCACACAGUCCACUCCAAUCCCUGCACUCUCCAAUCUCUGCAGCUGUUUUCAACCAUACUCAGUAAAUCAAGAAACUCUCAAACAACUCCAGCAACGCCUUCAAGAACAACUCCACACAAGGCUUUGAGGAUCAGGAGGAUUAGCACUGCUUUCCCGUGACAGGUUUACGAUUAAACUACAGGCUUUGCCUAUUCAGGUUCAGUUGGUGCAGACAAGGCUGGGUUGAGGCUAAAUACCACGAUGUCUUUUGCUUCCGCUAAUGACUAGCUUAUCAUCUCGUCUUUUAAAUUCUCUAAAUUGAGAAUUUCUAUCCUAUAUAUUUUAAUGAAGCUAUCAUUGAUUAAGAUCAGAGACACGGAACUAAACUUAUGUGAUCCUGAGUUUGAAUAUUGUCAUUUGAUUGGCAUCUCUUAAUGCCUUUCAUUUUAUCUCUUUGGAUUAUAUGAAUACUCAAUUUAAUGGGUA